rnacentral:rRNA from 1 species
CCUACGGGCUGCUGCAGUGGGGAAUAUUGGACAAUGGGCGAAAGCCUGAUCCAGCCAUGCCGCGUGUGUGAAGAAGGCCUUCGGGUUGUAAAGCACUUUCAGUGGGGAAGAAAGCCUUGGGGCUAAUACCCUCGAGGAAGGACAUCACCCACAGCAGAAGCACCGGCUAACUCCGUGCCAGCAGCCGCGGUAAUACGGAGGGUGCGAGCGUUAAUCGGAAUUACUGGGCGUAAAGCGCGCGUAGGCGGUCUGAUAAGCCGGUUGUGAAAGCCCCGGGCUCAACCUGGGAACGGCAUCCGGAACUGUCAGGCUAGAGUGCAGGAGAGGAAGGUAGAAUUCCCGGUGUAGCGGUGAAAUGCGUAGAGAUCGGGAGGAAUACCAGUGGCGAAGGCGGCCUUCUGGACUGACACUGACGCUGAGGUGCGAAAGCGUGGGUAGCAAACAGGAUUAGAUACCCCAGUAGUC